GCUCCGCCCCCUCCCGCCCUCCCCCCGCUGCUUCUUCCGCUGAGGCCGGGGCGAGUGGAGGCGGCGCUGUGCAUUGUGGGUGGCGAGCGGCCGAUUUGGAUUCCCGCUCACGGCCACCGUCGGUGGCUCGCGAGCUUCUGAAGCGGCGGCUCGCUGGCUGGGCCACCUCUACGUCGACUCAGCCCGAAGAAGGCGAGAAGCUUGCUCGCACAACAACAAGAAGCAGGAGGAGGAAGGUUUGUCUCCCAAGCCGAGCGCUUCCGGGUCCACCUUCAUGAUCCUCCCUCUGCCCCAGGGUGGAAAGAUCCCCUGGCACAGGGUUACGGCCGGGGCGAGUGGAGGCGGUGCUGUGCAUUGUGGGUGGCGAGAGGCUGAUUUGGAUUCCCUCUCACGGCCACCGUCGGUGACUCGCGAGCUUCUAAAGUGGCGACUCGCUGGCUGGGCCUCCUCUACGUCGACUCAGCCCGAAGAAGGUGAGAAGCUUGCACGGUGUGGACACAGCAACAGUGGCGGUGGUGGGGGGGGAGACAAAGGAGGCACCUGGCCCACAGGUGCCUCCUUUGUCUCACUCCCCCCGUGUCUCCCU